rnacentral:rRNA from 1 species
UACGUAGGGUGCGAGCGUUGUCCGGAAUUACUGGGCGUAAAGAGCUCGUAGGUGGUUUGUCGCGUUGUUCGUGAAAUCUCACGGCUUAACUGUGGGCGUGCGGGCGAUACGGGCAGACUAGAGUACUGCAGGGGAGACUGGAAUUCCUGGUGUAGCGGUGGAAUGCGCAGAUAUCAGGAGGAACACCGGUGGCGAAGGCGGGUCUCUGGGCAGUAACUGACGCUGAGGAGCGAAAGCGUGGGGAGCGAACAGG